UACGUAGGUGGCAAGCGUUGUCCGGAUUUAUUGGGUUUAAAGGGUGCGUAGGCGGUCUUAUAAGUCAGUGGUGAAAUACGGCAGCUCAACUGUCGAGGUGCCAUUGAUACUGUAGGACUUGAGUACAGACGAGGUAGGCGGAAUUGACGGUGUAGCGGUGAAAUGCGUAGAUAUCAGGAGGAACACCUGUGGUGUAGACGGCUUUCUGGACCAUAGCUGACGCUGAGACACGAAAGCGUGGGUAGCAAACAGG
rnacentral:rRNA from 1 species